AUGGAACCCUAUGUUGGCAUGAGAUUUGACAGCCUUCAAAUUGCUAAGGAUCACUACAACAGCUAUGCACUACGGAUGCGUUUCUCUAUCAAGAUGAACACCUCUAGACGGACACCCCGCACCAAUGAAUUGAUAAAACAACAAUUUUGCUGCAACAAGUUCAAGAAGCCCAAAGCUGAUGAUGGAGGAGCUGAGGCUCCUCCUGUCCUGGACCCUAUUCCAGAUCCGAAAUCUGUUGACAUUGAUGAGGAGAUGGAAGAAGAACCUCCAAUAUUUGCUGAAGAGGAGACUGGUACUAGUAAGAAUAAGAAGAAGAAGAAGAAGAAGCGCAAACGCGAGACAAUAAAGCAGACUCAAUGCAAGGCGAAAAUGUUGGUGAAGCUGAUAGAUGGGCGAUGGGAGGUGACGCACUUUGUUCGUGACCACAAUCAUCCGCUCGUGAACAAACCUUCAUUGUCCAAAUACUUGAGAUCCCACCAAGGCAUCUCACCUGAUGAAAAGGAGUUUCUGCGCAUCUUGUAUAACUGCAACUUGACUACAAGACGUAUGAUGCAUGUAAUGGCAGAGUUCUAUGGAUCUGAGAUGAUGGUGCCGUUCGGACCAAGGGCAACAACAAAUCUGUGUACAAGUUUCCAUAGAGAUGACACAAAGGAGGGUGAUCUGAUUGAGACAAUUGCG
rnacentral:rRNA from 1 species